UACGUAGGGAGCGAGCGUUGUCCGGAUUCAUUGGGCGUAAAGAGCUCGUAGGCGGCUUGAUAAGUCGGAUGUGAAACCUCCAGGCUCAACCUGGAGUCGCCAUCCGAUACUGUCAUGGCUAGAGUCCGGUAGGGGCCCACGGAACUCCUGGUGUAGCGGUGAAAUGCGCAGAUAUCAGGAAGAACACCGAUGGCGAAGACAGUGGGCUGGGCUAACACUGACGCUGAGGUGCGAAAGCUAGGGUAGCGAACGGG
rnacentral:rRNA from 1 species